rnacentral:tRNA from 1 species
GUGUGUGUAAUUUAAAAAAAAUAUCAAGCUGUGACCCUGAAAACAGAGACUACCCCUCUCGCACACC